rnacentral:rRNA from 1 species
UACGUAGGGUGCAAACGUUGCUCGGAAUCAUUGGGCGUAAAGCGCACGUAGGCGGCCUCGCAAGUCGGAUGUGAAAUACCUAGGCUCAACCAAGGACGUGCAUCCGAAACUGCAAGGCUUGAGUACAGAAGAGGAUCGCGGAAUUCCCGGUGUAGAGGUGAAAUUCGUAGAUAUCGGGAGGAACACCAGUGGCGAAGGCGGCGAUCUGGGCUGAUACUGACGCUGAGGUGCGAAAGCGUGGGGAGCAAACAGG